GCUACAAAAGACGAAAUCUUUGUUUCCUCUCUAUUCUAAGGACUGCUCCGAAUUAGUUUUUACGUCUUCUGACCCGAUUUUUAUCGAUCAAAACAAAUCAAGGAACUUAAAAGCAACUAAAUCUGAAUCUGAUAGCUUACCUUGUGAAUUCAAUAACAAAAAA